rnacentral:misc_RNA from 1 species
GAUGAAGAACGCAGUGAAACGCGAUAUGUAAUGUGAAUUGCAGAAUUCAGUGAAUCAUCGAAUCUUUGAACGCACAUGGCGCCUUCCAGUAUCCUGGGAGGCAUGCCUGUCCGAGCGUCGUUUCAACCCUCGAGCCCCCGUGGCCCGGCGUUGGGGAUCUGCCCAGGCAGUCCCCGAAAACCAGUGGCGGACCCGUUACAGGCCCUUCCCUUGCGUAGUAGCAUUCGCCUCGCAUCGGGAGCCGGCGGGCUUCCAGCCUCUAAACCCCCAUCAAGUCCGCCCCGGCGGCACCAAGGUUGACCUCGGAUCAGGUAGGAAUACCCGCUGAACUUAAGCAGAUCAAUAAGCGGAGGA